UACGUAGGGUGCGAGCGUUGUCCGGAAUUACUGGGCGUAAAGAGCUCGUAGGUGGUUUGUCGCGUUGUUCGUGAAAACUCACAGCUUAACUGUGGGCGUGCGGGCGAUACGGGCAGACUGGAGUACUGCAGGGGAGACUGGAAUUCCUGGUGUAGCGGUGGAAUGCGCAGAUAUCAGGAGGAACCACCGGUGGCGAAGGCGGGUCUCUGGGCAGUAACUGACGCUGAGGAGCGAAAGCGUGGGGAGCGAACAGGA
rnacentral:rRNA from 1 species